AAAAUAAAUAAAUAUCAAUUUCGGAAAUAAAAGCACCUUGGCAAAUCUACGAACGGGUGCUGUCUAUAGCAAUGGACAUGAAAUCGUUCUUCUAGGGUGACUGGAUGAAAACAUACGUGAUUUAUUCGUACAUGGUAGGAAGACCUUGUUGGGAGGGUGGGUGUAAACGGCACGUCAAGGAAGAGCGCUUGUGGUCUAACAGUCACUGUGGAGUAUAAUCUCUGUGCACUCAGCCCUUCAAUUAUUUAAGGGUAUAAGGGCAAAGGGGUAAAUGUAUUCGGUGGCCCUGCUGCAUGGGAUGGGCUUGAAAGGCUGAGUGUGUUUUCGUGCUUUGGUCAUCGGUCCAAGCACCACCACCUGGGAGUGGAAGGAAGAUGCUGCAGGAAGCAUCUUCUCCACAAGAGGUUGACAUUGAACCAGCAGAUGCUGAAUCUCCAUCUUUGGAACAUUCCAAAAGUUGCGAGACUGACGAAGUGCCUGUUCAUUAGAAAGGAACAGAGAAAAUGUUAUGAGAAACAUUUAUACAAAAUGGUCGCAGGAGUGCCGGAGCCUAUCCCAAGUGUCAAUGGGCAUGAGGCAGGGGAAAUGCUGGACUGGUUGCCAGCCAAUCGCAGGGCACACAAUUGUAAUGAGAAUAAUUAUAUAUUUUGAAUAACCUGAAUAUGAAUGGUCAAAGACCAACAUCAGUCCAGUAUACAGAACCAUCAGCUUUCCAUACAAAAUUUAGUGAUUUUGACCUGCUGCCAAGCCAAGUCCACGUCGCGGUAGCCACACACUCACUGCCGCCCAAGCUCAUGUCGCAGUGGUGACAGAUCACCUGGUGAACAACGCUCACGCCACAGUUCCAACGGAGCCGCUACCAAGUCAAGCCCACCUCCAUGGUUUGUUUUCCAAAAAGACAAAACUCAGAAGCGAUCUGUAGAGGGCUCAAGUGCUGAGGAUGGAGAGGAUUCUGAUAAAGACGAGACAAACUACUUUUCUCCAGUGAAAAGGGAGAAGACUUUAUCAUUCUCGUCGCUCCAUCUUGCUUCCAAGAAGAAUGUAUUCAUGCCCCCCAGUUUCUGCCAGUCUCCCACCCGGAAAUCAGACUCUGAGCCAGAUGAAAAGCAAGUUGGGUUCCGACUAAAGCCGCCGACUCUCAUUCAUGGGAAAGCGCCCAGUGUGCCAAGUCAGAAACUGGAAGAGCAACAACGCAGCAUUUUGCAGCCUGCGGUUGUUUACGCGCCACCCUCCAAAUCCCACGCUCCUGUUCAGGCACAGGCGGCGACGACUCCUUGGCCGCCUUCCACUCCUGUCCCGGUAGCGGCGACGACUCCUCGGCCACCCCCCGCACCUGCUUUGAAGGCGACUCGUCCUCGGCCACCUCACGCUCCUGUCUCGACGGCGACCGGCACGAGGCCGCCUCACACUCCUGUGUCGGCAGCAACAGGUAAGUGUCAUGUUCCUCUCACAACGGCGCCCGCCCCGCCGCCUCCUCACGCCCUGUCUCGACCAUGACCACCUCCCACUCCUGUUUCGAUGGCGACCGGUCCGCGGCCGCCUGAUGACCACAUUUCAACGGCGACCGAUUCCCAGCCAUUGGACGCCCACGCCAUGGCGGUCGCCCCCCGACCAAGCCUCGAUGGCGACCAAUCCCCGGCUGCCUCACAACUUAAACUCAGCGGCGACCAAUCCACAGCUCCCUCACGGCCUAGCCUCGGUGGCGACCAAUCUCCAGCCACCUCACGACCACGUCCUGGGAGGUCUUCAUUCGGAGCCUUUGGGUCUGCGUCCACUGGAUCGCCCUGUGGGGACCCUGGUGCUUAGCGUUCUGGCCAACCUCCUGACCUGCUCGGCUGGACACCUUGCUUUGGGUGGUCUGGACAGCCACAAGACAGACUGGGGUUGGGGGGUUUGUGGGGUCCCCUGGGUUCCCUUUCACCCUCCCCUGGUCAUGUUUUUAGCUGAUUUUUUAGUUUUGUCGCAUCAGGGAUCCGCACCUUAAGGAGAGGGGGGCGGGGUUCUGUCAUGAGCAAGGCUUGGCCGCUGCCAAGAGGGGCGUGACCAGGCCACUGCUCUGGGCGGUGACACCUGUCACCAGUCACAGCUGUUUCACAUUCGGACUGUAAUUAGACAGGCAUUUAAGUUGGAGUUUUUGUCACUGGCAUUCGCCAGUUCUUUGCGUUGCGUUAGUGAGUUACAUUCACUGCCUGUGUCACUCUCCGCUUCUAUGCGUAAGUUAGAGUAACUGUAGUCACAGUGAUUCUGUGCCCUUUUAUUUUAUCCUGUCCUGUUGAGUUUGACAGUUUGCCCCAUAAUCAUCGGACUUUGGUGCAUGUCUUUUGGAUCCCGCCUAGCCUAGCGUUUCUAUGCCUCUGCCUUGUCGGACUGCUACACCGUGUAUG